UCGGGAAUUUUGGGCAAUGGGCGAAAGCCUGACCCAGCAACGCCGCGUGAGGGAUGAAGUAUUUCGGUAUGUAAACCUCGAAAGAAUGGGAAGAAUAAAUGACGGUACCAUUUAUAAGCUCCGGCUAACUACGUGCCAGCAGCCGCGGUAAUACGUAGGGAGCAAGCGUUGUUCGGAUUUACUGGGCGCAAAGGGCGCGUAGGCGGCGCGGUAAGUCACUUGUGAAAUCUCUGAGCUUAACUCAGAACGGCCAAGUGAUACUGCUGUGCUAGAGUGCGGAAGAGGCAACCGGAAUUCUUGGUGUAGCGGUGAAAUGCGUAGAUAUCAAGAGGAACACCUGAGGCGAAGGCGGGUUGCUGGGCCGACACUGACGCUGAUGCGCGAAAGCCAGGGGAGCAAAC
rnacentral:rRNA from 1 species